CCGCACGCGCGCUACACUGACAGAGCCAGCGAGUACUCCCUUGGCCGGAAGGUCCGGGUCAUCUUGUUAAACUCUGUCGUGCUGGGGAUCAGAGCAUUGCAAUUAUUGCUCUUCAACGAGGAAUCCCUAGUAAGCGCAAGUCAUCAGCUUGCGUUGAUUACGU
rnacentral:rRNA from 1 species